rnacentral:rRNA from 1 species
GACGAACGCUGGCGGCGUGCUUAACACAUGCAAGUCGAGCGGUAAGGCCCCUUCGGGGGUACACGAGCGGCGAACGGGUGAGUAACACGUGGGUGACCUGCCCUCAGCUCUGGGAUAAGCCUGGGAAACGUGGGUCUAAUACCGGAUAUGACUCCAUGACGCAUGUCGUGGGGUGGAAAGCCUUGUGCGGCUGGGGAUGGGCCCGCGGCCUAUCAGCUUGUUGGUGGGGUGAUGGCCUACCAAGGCGACGACGGGUAGCCGGCCUGAGAGGGCGACCGGCCACACUGGGACUGAGACACGGCCCAGACUCCUACGGGAGGCAGCAGUGGGGAAUCUUGCGCAAUGGGCGAAAGCCUGACGCAGCGACGCCGCGUGAGGGAUGACGGCCUGG